GACGAACGCUGGCGGCGUGCUUAACACAUGCAAGUCGAACGGUGAAGCGCCUUCCUUUUUGGUGGGUGUGGAUGAGUGGCGAACGGGUGAGUAACACGUGAGUAACCUGCCCCCUUCUUCUGGAUAACCGCAUGAAAGUGUGGCUAAUACGGGAUAUUCUGGGUCUGUCGCAUGAUGGGUCUGGGAAAGAUAUUGUUUCGGUGGGGGAUGGGCUCGCGGCCUAUCAGCUUGUUGGUGGGGUGAUGGCCUACCAAGGCGGUGACGGGUAGCCGGCCUGGGAGGGUGGACGGUCACACUGGGACUGAGACACGGACCAGACUCCUACGGGAGGCAGCAGUGGGGAAUAUUGCACAAUGGGCGCAAGCCUGCUGCAGCGACGCCGCGUGAGUGAUGGCGGCCUUCGGGUUGUGAACCUCUUUCGCCAGUGAAGCAGGCCUGCCUCGUUUGUGGGUGGGUUGACGGUAGCUGGAUAAGAAGCGCCGGCUAACUACGUG
rnacentral:rRNA from 1 species